GGGGAAGUUAUGGGAUAUGGGAGGAUCGGAAAGCAUAAUAUCUCAUUCCUUUAUGAUGAUGAUGAUGAUAUCUAAAUUCCUUUCCGAUUCCACCCAUUCCUAUUAUUUCCUU
rnacentral:precursor_RNA from 1 species